rnacentral:lncRNA from 1 species
CUGUUCCAAUCUUCUCAGCCUGCUCAUAUCAUUAAGAUUUUCCAGUAAAUUAACACAGAGACUAAAGAUCCUCUGACGCUUACAAAUCAAACAUCACAUUGGCCAAAAUUUUGUACUGGAUUGUUAUGGAGAUGGAAGUCUAAAACCUAUGUGUGUGGUUCAUAUACAUUGUUUGAUAUGGGAAUAGUACUUUACAGACCCUGCAGGAACAAUCACAGUCACAGUGGAAACAAUUUCACCUCAUCAGUUCUUUGUUUCGACUUCGUUGCUUGAUUCUUCGGUGGUUUCGCAUUCCACAAUCAGAUUCAAUGGUGGUUCCACUACUGCCUGGUAAUUAGAGGAGACAGCUUCUGGUUCACUACUCCUGCUUUGUAGUCCCGAAAAUCGCGCAAGAUCGAUCCCUUGCUGCAAGCAAGCAUUUAGCGCAGGGCCAAUUUAAUUUUUACAUCCACUGGUACUUGAACUCCGACUGAGAUGUGAGAAAUCUCACCUGGGUUCCCAAAUAGGAGUUGAUUGUCCG